GAUAAGGUUGCUAGAAUAAAAGAGAAAGAAAAAGAAAAGAUAAGGAUUAGAUGAGAAAGGGAGAGAAAGAAGAAAUGGGAGGAAGAGAGGGAGAGAAAAGGGAAGUGGCCGAAGCCCUUGUGUGGGAAGAGGAGGAGAUGGAAGGAUCUCCAUGAAGAAGAAGGAAGAAGGAGAAGAAAAGAAAGGUAUAACAUCUCUCUCUAAUCUCUUUCUAUGGAAUUUUUAUGAAAGGGGGUUUUGAUUUGGAUGUUCAAACCCUUAAGAUCUAUGUGUUUUCUAUGGAUUUAUGUAUGGAUUUACUCAUUUUUGAUGUUGAUUUGGGUGAAUCAAAAGAAUAAAGAAAAUUUAUUUUCUAGUUUUGAAUCCGAAAUUUCCUAGUACUUUGAAAUUUCACCGUUUUAAAUCUAUGACUUCUUUUUGCGAUCCGUCAAAAAGGGAUGUUAGAUAUAUGUGUUUAGUAGUUAACCCAAGUGGUAGUACUCAAAAAUGUUGAGUUUACAUGGGGUAGUGACUGAUUUGGUGAAAACAGUUCCGUUUUUAUAACCAAAAAUGGGCAGAUUCGGGGCAGUCAGUAGCGAGGGCAAUUUCGUCCAGUUUUUGUGCUUUAAAAAUUCUGGGCUUUUGGUAUGUUGUAGUACUCUGAUUUAGCUUUCCAUAGACUCCGGAACGGACUAAUUCCGAUUCCGGAUGAGGUAGUUAUGGCGUUCGGGAGAUGUGUAUCAAAACUGUUAAUCAAAUUCCGAACAGCCACCUUUGUGUAAAUUUCUGGACUGAUGUGUUAUGAUUUUGGAAAAAUGUCGUGAGACAAAAGUUGUAGCCCUGGAAGUUAUCUUCGCGUGGGCUCAAGAAUCGCUCAAAAAUGUUUUAAAACGCGAGAGUUAUGGCUGUUUUAGUGAGGCUGGGUAAAAAUUUUAAAAAAAAUCAAAAGUGUCCAAAAAUAGGAAAAAUGCGAUGUAUGAAGUGAGACCCGUGAGCAUGGCGUAUGCAAGUUUGUAAUGAAGUUUUGGGUCGGGUUUAAGGUGUUGUGAUGUUUAUGACAUUUUAAAAUGUUUAAACAAGUUUAUUAAUUACGGGAAGGAAAACAAUUGAAAUAAUUGUUUAUUUAAGUGAUUAAUGACAUAAAUUAUUUUUAUGUGACUAAUAAUAUGGUAUUGAGAUAUUAUUAGUAGUAUGUGACUGGAAUGUUAUUAAAAGGUUAGUAACCUUAGCGUAAAAUAUUAUUACAUAAUUAAUAAUAUUUGACGGGAGAUUUAAUAAGAGAUUUAUGAUAUUUUUCAAUGUAAUUGUUGAAAUUGAUAUUCAAUGAAGUAUAUUAUGUGUUUGGGCAUAUGAUAGAGAAAUAAUAAGUCAUAAUAAUCUAAUAAAGUCUUAUGGUGCGAAAUUUGACUAUAAGUAAUAUUUUAUGCCGAGAAACUUUCUUUCAGGCAUAAAUAAAGCAAUAAAAAUAUGUAAUAAAUAUAAAUUACAUAUUUAAGCGAAAAAUAUAUAUAUAUAUAUAUAUAGUUGCCUAUAAAAAUUAUUUUGUGGUGGAACAAAGAAUGUAAAACCUUUGAAAUAUUGUAUUAAUCAUAAAAAUGAUAUUUUGAGGUUUUCGGUGCUCAAAAUGAAGUUUUUGAGCUGAGAUUUACGUAACGAAGCAAAAAUGCGAAUAAUCGUAAAAUGAAAAAUAAAGCGAAUGUGCUAGUGAGAUAAAAUGUUUAUAUAUGAGGCAAUAGUCAGUGUUGACUCAUGAACGGACAAACUGAAGUAAAAGUUAUUUAAAGUGAAGAAAUAAUAUAGUAAAUUGAUUUUUACUAUAAAAGCUAUACAUUAGCUGUUUAAACUCCGAAUUUGCGAGUAGAGGUAAAAGAUAUUUCUGAAAUGAAAUUUAAAUGGUUUAAGUUUCAAGAUGUAAAGUAUUUGCAUCUUAAAAUGUGUGAGACCUUUAUUAUUUAUGAAACAAGUAAAAUAUUAUUACAUGAUUAAUAAUAUUAGAAGGUGAUUACAAUAUUAUUAAAUGAUUAAUAAUAUUAGUAAAGGAUUUAAAUAUUAUUAAAUGAUUAAUAAUAUUUGUAAAUGAUAAAUAUUCUAUAAAAAGAAUAUUAGGCAAAAGUUUAAGAUAAUGGAUAAGUGAUAGUAAUAUUAUUAAGGGAUAAUAAUAUUACUAAUGAGUUAAAGAAUUAUUUAAUGUUUAAUUAUGUGGCUAAAUGUUAGCUAAUUUAUUAUUUGAGUAAUAGUGUUGUGGGAUAAAAUGUAUUAUGCUAAUUGGAGGAUCGAUCUUAUUAAUGAUAGGUCUUUUAUAAGAGAUUAAAUUGAUUGCUUAGCGGUAAUCAACGGUACAGGCAAGUUCCUAAACUUGAACUUCUAAUUAUUGUGCAAGUUUCCUAACUCAACUUGAGUUAAUUCAAAGCAUGUUAGUGGUUAAUUAUUGUUGAUUAUACCACGUCAAUAAUUUAUUGAUUCGCACAUUGUGCAUGUUGUUUAUGUUCAUCAGGUAUGAAAGGCUGAUCACCUUCAUUACCAUAGGUUUCAGUUAAACUUGUUCAUGUUAAUUGUUGACAUCCAAUAUCAUUGGUUCAGUCAUUCAAUCAUUGAAACUUGAUUCAUGUUAUUUCACAAUUAUUAUAUUGUUGAAAACUUGAAAGCUUAUUCAUUCUUUUCAAUCAUGAUAUAUCUCCAUUGUAUGUAAAACUUGCUGGGCAAAUUUGUUGCUCACCCUUGCUAUAUCAUGAUAAAAUUUUCAGAUUAAGAUGAAGGCUUGAAUAAGGACAGAGGCAAAGACAAAGUGCAAAGUUUUUUUUUAUGUUGCAGUUAGAUUUAUUAAAUUUUCUGACGAAAAUAGUAUUGUAAACCUUUUUAAUAUUGAAGGUAUGUAUUAAGUUAAGGUUGUAGACCUUGGGACUGAUGUGUAAAGUUUAAUGUAUAAACAAUGUAUGUUUAUAUCUUCCGCAAUAGUUAUAGAAAUAGCGUACCGGAUCCGCGGCGAUUUGGGACCCGGAUUCGGGGACGCCACACUUCCCAGUUAGGAGCUAAUUUUCCCUUAGAUUGAUCUUGGUUAUCAAUGAUCUUCUUCAAAACCAAGUCAUGUUGUUUGAAUUGCCGUAGUCGGACUUUUCUGUUGUAGGAUCGUGCGAUCCUCUGCUGAUAUAACUGACCAUGGAAGAUAGUCGCGGUUCGCAUUUCAUCUAUUAGAGACAAUUGGUGAUACCUGUCUUGUACCCAUUGGUCUACAUCCAACUGAGCAUCCAUCAAUACUCUAAGGGAUUCCAUUUCCACUUCUAUGGGGAGCACUGCUUCCAUCCCAUAUACUAAUGAGUAGGGAGUUGCCCUAGUAGAAGCACGCAUUGAAGUUCUGUAGGCUAAUAAAGUUAGGGGCAAGAGGUUAGGCCAUCCUUUGUGAUUGGCGGACAUUUUUUGCAUGAUCUUCUUGAUGUUUUUAUUAGCUGCUUCAACAGCACCAUUCAUCUUCGGACGGUAGAUGAUAGAGUUGAGAUGUUUGAUGUGGAAUUUUCUGCAUAAUUCCUCCAUCAUGUUUUUGUUGAGGUUUUUAGCAUUGUCUAACACAAUGACCUCUGGUUGUCCAUAUCAACAAACAACAUUGUUUCUGAUGAAAACAAUGAUGACUUCUUUAGUAACCCUGGGGAAGGAAGCUGCUUCAACCCAUUUGGUGAAGUAGUCGAUCAUGGUGAAUAUGAAUCGAUGUCCAUUACUGGCUUUGGGCUCGAUGGGCCCGAUCACGUCCAUUCCCCACAUUGAAAAGGGCCAUGGUGAACUCAUAUUAUGGAGUUCCCUUGGAGGGGCGUGGAUAGCAUUCCCAUGAAUCUGGCAUUGAUAGCACCUCUUGAUGUGAUCAUCAUAAUCAGCUUUGAGUGUAAGCCAGUAAUGUCCCGUUCUGAGAAUUUUCUUGACAAGUAGGGGUCCGCUCAUGUGAGGGCCGCAUACUCCACCAUGGAUCUCAUCCAUGAGUCGCUGAGCUUGGUCUUUGUCCAGACAUCUGAGGAGACCUAAUCCUGCAUCUCUUUUGUAGAGUGCAUCUCCGCUCAGGUAGAAUUUCAUAGCAAGUCGAUAAAUCCGCCUCUUCUCAGUUAGGCUCGCCUCAGCGGGUGUAGAUCCAUCUCGNNNNNNNNNNNNNNNNNNNNNNNNNNNNNNNNNNNNNNNNNNNNNNNNNNNNNNNNNNNNNNNNNNNNNNNNNNNNNNNNNNNNNNNNNNNNNNNNNNNNNNNNNNNNNNNNNNNNNNNNNNNNNNNNNNNNNNNNNNNNNNNNNNNNNNNNNNNNNNNNNNNNNNNNNNNNNNNNNNNNNNNNNNNNNNNNNNNNNNNNNNNNNNNNNNNNNNNNNNNNNNNNNNNNNNNNNNNNNNNNNNNNNNNNNNNNNNNNNNNNNNNNNNNNNNNNNNNNNNNNNNNNNNNNNNNNNNNNNNNNNNNNNNNNNNNNNNNNNNNNNNNNNNNNNNNNNNNNNNNNNNNNUGACACUCAUCAUUCCAUUUCAUGGAGGAGUUCUUCCUUAACAAUUUGAAGAUUGGCUCACAGGUUGCCGUGAGUUGAGAAAUGAAUCGACUAAUGAAGUUGAUCCUUCCCAAAAAUCCCCGUAUUUCCUUCUCUGUCGGAGGAAUGGGCAUUUCCUUGAUGGCCUGGAUUUUGGUAGGAUCCAGUUCAAUCCCUUUGUGGCUGACUAGAAAGCCUAGCAACUUGCCUGACUUAACACCAAAGGCGCACUUGGCGGGAUUCAACUUUAAGUUGUACUUACGCAACCUGUUGAAUAGCUUCUUGAGAUGGUCUAAAUGGUCAUCCUCCUUCUGGGAUUUGACAAUGAUGUCAUUCACAUAGAUCUUUAUCUAUUUGUGCAUUAAAUCAUGGAAAAGAGCCAUCAAAGCUCGCUGGUAGGUUGCCCCAGCGUUGAUGAAAGCAGUUUUCUCACGAUCUUCCUCAGUGACCAUAAUUUGAUGGUACCCCGCAAAGCAAUCAGCAAAGGAGUACAUGCCAUACUGAGCAGUAUUCUCAAUGAGAAUGUGGAUAAAUAGCACGGGAAACCUAUCUUUAAGGCAAGCUUUGUUCAAAUCUCGAUAAUCCACGCAAACUCGCACCUUCCCCCCUGGUUUAGGCACGGGAACAAUGUUGGAUAUCCCCUCCGGAUAUGUAGACACCAUGAUGAUACCAGCUUGAAAUUGUUUCACAAUUUCUUUUUUAACUUUUAAACUCCACUCAGGUUUCAAUUUCCUGAGCUUUUGCCUAACUGGCUUGAAUCCUUCUUUAAUGGGAAGGCGAUGAAGAACAAUGUCAGUGGACAAUCCCACCAUAUCUUCAUGAGACCAUGCAAACACAUCCUGGAAUUGGGCUAACAGUGCAACCAUGUCAUUCCGUUGAUUUGUGGUAAGGUCUGAACCAAUUUGGAUUAGCUUAGGGUUGUCUAAGGUUCCAAGAUUGAAAGGAGUGGUUUGUUCAAGAUUGGGUUUGGGUUAGUCGGCGACCCAUUCCUUAAUCUCUUGAGGUGUCUUAAUGUCCUCUUGGAUGUCCAUCAAGUCUGAGUCCAACUUUGCAUCAAAGUUACAGCCCUUGUGGAGAGAAGGCACCUCCUCAGCAAGUACAAGCACAUCUAAAUUCAGAGUCCUGAAACAAAAAUAUGCUUUCACUUAAUAUAUGCAACUGUUCGAUCAUACAAAAGUGUUAGCAUGUACGUGAUAAAAUAACUGCUAGUGCUGUAAAAGAAAGCAAGCAAUUAAAGUUAUCUACAGGGCAGAGGGAUUUUCUGCCCAUUUUACCCUCGUCGACCAAUCUAUGGAGUGCUACUCCAAUUGUUGAGGGAAAAUUCCUAAUGGACUGUAGUGAUAGAAGGAUCGUCAGUGUCCUCCUUUUCCUGAAUGAUAACCAUGACAUCUGGGCAAUCAUCGUCUGGGGUGUAUCUGUUGGUGUGUUCAUCAUGAACAAUGGCGCGAAUGCCUGCCAUCAUCAAGGCAAGGUCAUGUUUAUGUUUCCGUUCCUUUUCUUCCGCUUCGGGAUCAGGAAUCAGCACCUCUUUAGCUUUGAUUGGCAUUGGUUUCGGAAACAGCAUAGCCACAGCAUGGGCUGGCACCUUUACUGGAGACUGCAUCAACUCAUGCGAUAAAGGUAUAGAAAAUCACCGUGCGGCGGAAGUUUGAGGAACCUGCUUAUACUUGUGAGGAUUCUUGUGAGUGGAACUAGCAGAAUAGCCUAGCCUAGCUGUCCCAAUUUGAUUGGACAUUUGGAUAGGGUGCUUAAUACCCUGUUGAUCCUUACCAAGCCCUUCUCCAGGUUGAUGACCCAAUAACAUCAUUUCUUGAGUGCCUGACAUAACCUCAUCAAAAAUCUUAGGUACGGGAAGUGGCACUCCAAUAGAAUGGUAUUGCGUGUUACUCAAUUCCAGAGUAUGGAAACUGGCCGGCUCAACUUCUAAAUUGAAGCUGAUAAUUGGUAGAGUUCCUGAUUCCGGCUCAGCAUUGACAGUGACUAGACUAUUGUUGAUGAUGUCUUUGAGUUAUUGAUGUAAGGUGGAGGGAACAGCUCCAGCCAUGUGUACCCAUGGUCUCCCCAAUAGCAGGUUGUAUCCUGAAUCUAUCUUGAGGGCGUGGAAGGAUACGUUGAAUGUAUUAGGACCAAUCUCAAUUGGUAAUUCAAUCUUUCCAACGGAAUUUUGCCGAGAUCCAUCAAAAGCUCGGAUGAUCGUAUGGCUACUUUGGAUUCAACUGAGAUUGAUAUUCAUCUUCACCAAGGUGGCAUAAGGAAAGAUAUUCAGAGAUGAACCUCCAUCUAUCAAUACUCUAGCUAGCAUAUACCCAGAAGACAACAUUGCGAUGUGCAGUGGUUUGCAAUGACUGAUCCCUUCGGGAGGUAUGUCAUCAUCAGUGAAGGAUAUCACAUUGCUGUUGAAAAUGUGAUCAACUAAAUGUUGAAAUUUUUCUACAUUCACUGAUUUUGGCAGGUAGGUUUCUUCCAAAACCUUUAGCAAGAUCUUUCGAUGCUCCUCGAAAGAGAAAACCAAGUCCAGAAUUGAAAUCUGGUGUGGAGCUUCUCGCAAGCUUAAAACCACUUUGGCUUCGUUAUGGCCCAUAGUACGGAGGAAUUUUUCAAUCUUCUCUAUGGGCAAUUUCCCCUUUGCUUCGCAAGUAGUCUUGAUAACCCGUUGAGGAAGGUACAAUGGUUUUUCUUUCGACACUGUAGCAGUAGUAUGAGACGUGAAUCCUUCAGCUUCUCCAUAAUUCCAUGGAACUUUGUGUAAGCUGACAACAGGAUGUUGUAGUCUGCAAGGUAAAGGAAUUGGCUCUGGUGCGGCCACUUUCAAAGGAUUUUCAGCUCCUUUGAGAUGAAUUGGUUGUAUGGGAAAUACUUUGACAGUCUCAUCAUCCACUUCGGAUAUAACUGCUACUGAUCCCUUCCAUUAGGUAAGGCAUGCAUUCCCACCCUUAAGUUGCAUAAUGUAAUCAUCCGCUAUUUGCAGGACACCGCUAUCAAUAAGAUUCUGAAUGAGAUGGCGGAGUGCCCAGCAUUCUUCUGUGUUGUGACCGCGAGAAUGUGAAUGAUAUUGACACAUUUCAUCAGGAUUGAACCGCCCUAAGCGGGGAUUGAUUGGAGGUAUAAGGAAUGUGAUACUUCCUUCAUUGAUCAAUAUUUGAAGUAUCUCCUCCAUAGAUUGGUCCAAAUAGGUGAAUUCCCUUUUAUUGGUGAAAUCCUGACGGGCUUUAGCACUUGCUCGCUUUGCAACCUUAUCCUCUAUAGCUUCACUUUCUGAAGGUGUUGAUGAAGCAUUCAUAACAAAUGGAAAGAGAUAGGCGUGCUCCUGCCUGAUUAAUUGGCAUGUGACUUGAUGAUGGUGGGUCACCAGUUCUGCCAAUUGCUCAAUUUGUUGCAAAUAGCUUUCAUUUUUCGUUCCAUGGUAAACUGGAACUUUGCAUAAUCCCAUUUGUCAACACCAUCUUUGUGUUGAGGAAGAGGGUUGUCUUGAACGUGAGGUUGAUCGGGUUUAGUGACCACGAUCUCACCAUUGUCUAUUAGAUCUUGAAUCUUAUGCUUCAAGGCCUAACAAUCUUGAGUAUCAUGUCCGGGUGCCCCGUCAUGGUAAGCACACUUCUGAGUAGCAUUAAAACCCUUCCCAUUAGGGUUGGUUGGUGGAAGAAGAUGUGUAAUUUUCCUCUGAGCAAUCAGAAGAGCAAGAAUAUUCUUGAGCGAGUCCCCUAAAGGUGUUAACGUUCAUGGCCGCUUCACUUCUCUACUUUUAGGUAAUGGAGGGUUUGAAGAUUGUGCUGGAAAAGGGGAGUAUUUUCUCCUCUGCAUAGGCAUGCUUGGAUUGCCUUUUUGUCCUUGUAGUAUCAAGGAAACAUCCUCCUCUUUCUUUUCAUGGACCCUCCGGGGGUUGUUUCCAUAAGAUCCGGACUGGAUGUGCUCAGCAACAGCUUUAAGAGCGGCUAGGUCUUGAAUCUUACCGGACUUCAAUCCCAUUUCAGCCAUCUCGCUAUGUUUGAUAAUUUAAGAAAAUGGCUUGCCAAUACCAGCUAGAACUCUUUCAUAGAAAGGGGCUUCCUGUAUAUCUAUGAAAGUCACGACCAUUUCUGAUUCUGUCAUGGAAGGAAUAACUUGAGCAGCAAGGCGCCUCCACCUUUGAGCAUACUCUCUGAAUGACUCAUUAGACUAUUUCUUGACUUUGGUAAUUUGGUACCGGUCAGGAGCCAUCUGAGAUUGAAAACUGUAUUGAGUGAGGAAGGCGUGGGCCAACUCUUCCCAAUGAUGGAUCUUAGAGUUGUCUAAUCUGGUAUACCAUGAACGGGCUUCUCCAGUCAGACUUUUCUGAAGCAGCUGCAUUCUGAGCUUUUCAUUCUCAGCAUAAGAUCUGAGUUCUCCAAUGAACACUUUUAAAUGUGUAUAAAGAUCGCCUAAUCCGUCAUACUUUUCAAAAUUAGGGGCUUUAAAUUUCUCCGGAUAAUGAACACCAGGGAAUAUGCAAAGGUCUGUAUAUGAAACACUGCCAUGAGUUCUAAUCCCUUUGAGAACACGAAUGGUUUCCUCCAUUUGAAGGACUUUCUUCCUGAUGUCACCGUUGUCUGGAUCUCCUUGGAGAUGGGUGCCUUCAGUGUCUUUAUUGGUUAUAUCCAACUGAUGUUCUAGAAUUAUUUUUUCCAGACCUUGAACUCCAUGUGUAAAGGGUUCUAUAUGUGUAGGUAUCUUCAUACCCUAAGUAGACUGGUGUAAUUCUUUCAGUAAAAUAGCCAAGUUUGUGAUUUAUUUACUCAAUCCGUCAAAUUCUUCUCGGGAAACAGGAUUAAACUAUUCGAAAGAAGACAUGAUUGGCUGUAGGCUUGUGGCCUUUUUGGAUUUUGAGCGGGUAACAGGCCCAAUUGCUUCCCUACAAAAGACUUACGUAGUUUAGUCUUAGGGUAAUGUAAAUGUUAUCAUAACAUGUCUGUUUUAGGAAUUUGUCCUGCAAAACUGGUUUAUUAAUUGAUAACAUGUCAUGCACAGAUAUUCUUCAUAUUUUCCAUUAUAUAUGGAUGAACAUGGAAUAAAAUUACAAGUAAUUAAAAAUGGAAAGAAUGAAGAGACUUUCCUCCGCGUUUGGUUUAUUAGAUGUUGACCUAUCUUAGGGUUACUCUCGUGGCUUUUCGGCAUAAAGGUUCCCAGAUCAUCGCAAUCUACUCGACGGGAAGUUAAUCCGGUCUUUCAACUGGAGCGAAUCUGAGUGGUGCCUUUCCUGAGCCCCGGGGAAUUAUUCUUCCCACGGGUCCAGUAAUCAAACACCGACAGGAUAGCCUCCUGGUGGAGGGACCACACAACAUACAUUCACAUACAACGUGUCUCACCGUUUAUGCAAAAUGAUGAUAUGUGCGAAGCACUAAUAUAACAGAUAGAUAUUUAGCAGUGCAAUAACUAAGAUGCAUUCGUACACAUUCAUCAAAAAUGUAAAUGCAACAAUCACACACAAGCAUAUAACAAUUUUGAAAAGCUUGUAAUAGCGGCUUAAGCCCUCUUAUUGGAGUCCCCAGUAGAGACGCCACCUGUCGACGUCGGGAUUUUUGGUGUCCCUUUUCGUUACUUGUUCUUUGGUGUUCUCAUGUUAAUAUGAGAUUUGUUUGAAAAAAGAAGUAAAAAAGGUCCGACAUGUAUAAUGUCGACGAUUGACUUUAAGAGUCGCCAGUUGGUGUAUUUAACUGGUUGCACCAACGCAACCGAAAAGGUUAGCACAUUGACCCAGUGAUUUGACACUGCUAAACAGGUCUGUGAAACUGAGAUUCAUUAAGGGUUCAGGGGCUUGAUUAUGCGGAGGGAAGGUGUUAGGCACCCCCCGACAUCCGUGUUACCACGGUGACCACCACUCUUCAAAGAAAUUGUUAUAUGAAUGUGUGUGUGUGUGUGUGUGUGUGGAUCAAUGUGCAAUUAUUUGAAAGUAGUGCGAGGCCUCGUUCGCACCUAUAUACACAAGGUUUGAAUUUUAUAGAAAAAUUCAGUUUUAACCAAGAUAUAGCAAUGAAGUUUUAUAAAAGAGGUUUUUCAAACCCUGUGCUCAAUAGGAAUUGAGACCUUUUCAUACUUCCAUUUUAUUAAAUGUUCGGCUUGUUUGCUUUUAUUUUCGAGAUGCGAAGCAUCCUCGAGAAAAUAAUAUACAGCAGUGCCGAACUCCUUAUGGGCAUGACAGCCAUCCAAGGAAACUCAGACACUGUAAAAUAAUGUACAAGCUGCUUACAGCUAAAAAUGUCCAUCAUGGGAACUGAAUCUAGAUUCAGUAGACUGAACCUGUGAUCACAUGAUUCCUCGCCUUUUUCCUUCUCUCUCUCUCUCAAAUGGCUGACCACAAGGCUUGUAUAUAUAGAUGGAUGGCCGCAGGUACAUCUGCGGCAGCCGCAGUUGUACCUGCGGUUGGUCGUGGUGGAUCUGAGCCUCGCAGGUCCCGUCGUCUCGUAGUACGUGAACUCGUGCACUGUAAUGUUUGCUCGAACUUGCAGAACUUCAAUCCGAGCAUCCGAACGAAGUAUAUCUGUACUUCUUCGGAUCGCUUGUGUCGAGAGUUACGUAAUGACAUGGAUUAGAGGUUGUACGAAGUCAGGAAGAGGGGUAUAUGCCCAUGGUCUUCAAGCUUCAAAUUCUAACCAAAGUACUGCCACACAUAAUAGUCACUCGAGAUUGUCAAUAUUCGGCUCUUGUGGGACAUUGUUGUAUGUAUGUAUGUAUGAAGUGUUGAGACGACGUGCCAUUUGUCGAAGGAACAAGAUGAUGUGUGACUCCUUGUCGGGGUUAUCGUCGGUUUGAGUUAAAAGUAGACGUUGCUCAGGGUUACAGCUGAGAUUGGACCACUUGUUGGUAUGCUGUGAUAUCAUCUUGCUGAGACAGUAAGAUGACGUGUUGACUCCUCACCGGGGUUAUUGCCGGUUUAAGCGGAAAGCAGACGUUGCUCAGGGUUACAACUGAGAUUGGACUGCUUGUUUGUAUGCCUCACUAUCAUCUGGAUUGAAGCUAAUUGCAUGUGUUUGCAAUAAGCAUUUCCUGGGUUAUCGCCGAAACUGCAAUGGCAUCCCUUGGGGUUAUCACCAAGGAUGGGGUUGCUACUCUUAGUGUUGUCUCUGGGACUAGAACUGAACGUCGCGGUGUUAUCGCCGAGAUAGGACUGUCCUCUUCGGAGUUGUUGCCGUUCUUUUGAUCUGCAUAUCUCGGGGUUAUCUCCGAGAUUGGAAAUAACACUCCUGGUGUGUGUUCCGGAUUUGAGAUGAUGUUCCCGGUUUGUGUUCCGGGUUGAAGCUGAACUUCCAGUAGUAUCCGGCAUGGGUGUAAGUUGUCUUUCAGGGUUAUCUCCAAAAGACAAAUCUACCCUCCUGCAAUGUUAGGAAUAGGAGUGCAAAAAAUUUUGAGUGUCUAUAGUUACUAUUCACCCAGUUACUAUUCACUCUAGUAUUAUUCACUCGGGUAUAAUUCGGGGCACUUUUCGUGCCGAAGUACUAUUUAUGAGUUACUAUUCACUCUAGUAUCAUUUACUCGGGUAUUUGAGGCACUUUUCGUGUCGGGGUACUAUUCACGGGGUACUGUUCCCGAAGUACUAUUCACGGGGUACUAUUCACCCAAAAAAUAUAUUUCUUUUCUGUCCAAAUUAUUUUUGGUACAUGAAUAUUAUACUUGAAUUUUACUCCACAAAGCAGUAUCAUGUUGACAAUUUGGAAGUUAUUAAUUUCUGGAUAAAUUAAAUUAUAAAUCUUUAAAAUUUAUCCUUGAACUUUUUUAUUGAAUUAUUAUGUCAUUGUCAUCAUCCUCAUGCUUAUAUUGUGAUGAAAGUCAUCUUUGGCUUACGUGCAUAGAUGGACUUGGUAUGAUUAUGACCAGGGAUUAUUCGGUAUAAUCAUGACCGUAAUGUGACGAUUGAAGUGGUGAAAGUCCUUAGUGGCCUGUAGUGCAUUGAUGGACAGUUUUUGGUAUGAUUAUGACUAGGGAUUAUUCGGUAUAAUCAUGACCAUUAAUGAUGAUUUAAUGAAUAUCCUUGGCCCGUAGUGCAGGGAAGAAUUGAUGAUAUGGUUUAUUUAUUAAGUUGAGUCUCAGCGGUAAAGUUGAUGAAAAACUUUUUAAAUCAUAGAAGAUAGUAGAUUUUAUGGUCUACUUGACUCUUCUAAGGGAUUGCUUAUUUCCGCUGUAGUUGUUGAUCUAAAACUUGUUGUCUAUUGUAUUCUAUCAGUUGUUAUGCUGUUGAAGGCUAAGGAUAAUUUAUUCUGCAUUAUCUUAGUCAUAAUAUUUCUUACUGGGCUAGUUGAGCUCACCCUUUGCUUUCAUUGUUCUCUUCAGGAAAUGAGAAUAUAGCUG
rnacentral:lncRNA from 1 species